rnacentral:misc_RNA from 1 species
GAUGAAGAACGCAGCGAAAUGCGAUAAGUAAUGUGAAUUGCAGAAUUCAGUGAAUCAUCGAAUCUUUGAAAGCACAUUGCGCCCAUUAGCAUUCUAGUGGGCAUGCCUGUUCGAGCGUCAUUUCAACCCUUAAGCCCUGUUGCUUAGCGUUGGGAGCCUACAGUACUGUAGCUCCCCAAAGUUAGUGGCGGAGUCGGUUUCACACUCUAGACGUAGUAAUUUUUUCUCGUCUGUAGUUGAGCCGGUCCCCUGCCGUAAAACACCCAAUUUAUCAAGGUUGACCUCGGAUCAGGUAGGAAUACCCGCUGAACUUAAGCAUAUCAAUAAGCGGAGGA